rnacentral:rRNA from 1 species
GCUGGCGGCACGCCUAACACAUGCAAGUCGAACGAAGUAGCAAUACUUAGUGGCAGACGGGUGAGUAACAUGUGGGUAUCUGCCCUUUGGCCUGGAAUAACACGAGGAAACUUGUGCUAAUACCGGAUAAGUCUUUACGGAGAAAGCUUUAUGCACCAUUGGAUGAGCCCGCACUUGAUUAGUUAGUUGGUAGGGUAAUGGCCUACCAAGACUGUGAUCAAUAGCUGAUUUGAGAGGAUGAUCAGCCACAUUGGGACUGAGACACGGCCCAAACUCCUACGGGAGGCAGCAGUGGGGAAUCUUGCACAAUGGAGGAAACUCUGAUGCAGCGAUGCCGCGUGAGUGAAGAAGGCCCUUGGGUUGUAAAGCUCUUUCGUCGGGGAAGAAAAUGACUGUACCCGAAUAAGAAGGUCCGGCUAACUUCGUGCCAGCAGCCGCGGUAAUACGAAGGGACCUAGCGUAGUUCGGAAUUACUGGGCUUAAAGAGUUCGUAGGUGGUUGAAAAAGUUGGUGGUGAAAUCCCAGAGCUUAACUCUGGAACUGCCAUCAAAACUUUUCAGCUAGAGUAUGAUAGAGGAAAGCAGAAUUUCUAGUGUAGAGGUGAAACUCGUAGAUAUUAGAAAGAAUACCAAUUGCGAAGGCAGCUUUCUGGAUCAUUACUGACACUGA